GAGGAGGAGGAGGAGGAAGAGAGACGGUCAGUGGUCAGUUGCAGUCUCGACGUGAAGGAAGGAGGAGGUCAAGCUCCAUUACUUGAGGGGACUCGAAUUGUGGAGCGCUGCUACGGAACCUCAUCAACGAGCCAGCCUUCCGUCCAUACCUGUGGAGCCAGUGCCUGUAGUAUAGGUGCUGCACUGCCCCCGGUCCUCUGUUCUGGAAGGUGUGGAUGAGGCUCUCCAGGGCAUUGAACACCCUCGCCAGGAACACCUCACGCUCCAGCUCCUCCA